rnacentral:lncRNA from 1 species
UCAAAUUCAACUGGUCGUAACGACUCUGAAUCCAUUCAGCAUCAGUCAACUAGGGAUUUGAGGGUAUACUUUCUUUUAUUUUUCUUUCUUUGAUUUUUUUUUUGAUCUUGAUUCUUUUUGAUUUUGAUUUUGAUUUUGUUUUUCACCCUCUUCUUGUUUUUUUUUACAUUACAUUUGUAAUGCCCCCAGUUUGACUGUUUGCUGAUUCUCAAGA